rnacentral:rRNA from 1 species
GACGAACCGAGCGAACGUUGUUCGGAAUCACUGGGCUUAAAGGGCGCGUAGGCGGGUGCUCAAGUCCGGGGUGAAAUCCUCCAGCUCAACUGGAGAACUGCCUCGGAUACUGGGCGUCUCGAGUGUGGUAGGGGUAUGCGGAACUAUCGGUGGAGCGGUGAAAUGCGUUGAUAUCGAUAGGAACUCCGGUGGCGAAGGCGGCAUACUGGACCACUACUGACGCUGAUGCGCGAAAGCCAGGGGAGCGAAC